rnacentral:lncRNA from 1 species
GAACACUGGAUGGAUGGAUGGAUGGAUGGAUGGAUGGAUGGAUGGAUGGAUCAAUGAACAUCGUUGACUGAGAUUCAACAUCCUUGCCGCUUAAUUCUGCUUCUUCUGAAAAGGAGCCUGAGCUUGUAAGCUCCAACUACAUAUUCCAACCUGCUUGCUGUACAUUUUCCCACGGGAAGCCUGCCGGAGUCUCAAACUCGGCACAUCCAAAUUCAGUUCCGCUCCACCUCUGCUACCUCUGCCCCUCACCUGAAAGUAGGCUGGAGCUCUGUUUCUGAUAAAGAAACCAUAUCCUCUGAGUCAGGUCAGCAAACUACAGCCCACAGGCCAUGUUCAGCCCACUGCCGAUCGUGUAAGUAAAGUUUCAUUGUGAUAUAACCCCACUAAUUCAUUUACAUAUUUUCUAUGGCUGUUUUUAAACAACAGUGGUGGGGUGAAUAGAUGCGAAAGAGGCUAUAUGGCCCACAAAGCCCAAAAUAUUUA